rnacentral:rRNA from 1 species
GUUGCCUCAGCUCAUGUGAGACUACCCCUAAAUUUAAGCAU